GCCAGGCAUGGUGGCGUGUGCCUGUAAUCCCAGCUACUUGGGAGGCUGAGGCAGGAGAAUCGCUUGAACCCAGGAGGUGGAGGUUGCAGUGAGCCGAAAUCACGCCACUGCACUCCAGCCUGGGCAACAAAGUGAGACUCUGUCUCAA
rnacentral:SRP_RNA from 1 species